AUGCCUACUACGUAGGAAAAAAAUCUGGAACCUCUUGCCCUGCAAGUUUCUACUUUCUACAGAAGUUGAAGUUCCAUCCGACUCCAUGGCCAUUCAUUCUUCCACUCUAAUACCAUCCUCAUUCGGAGGCGCCAAGCAUUCAAAACCUAAACUUCUAAAGUCUUGCUCACUUCCCUCCAACCCACCUCCUUUAGUUUCAUUUCCUUAUCGACACCGCCACCGCAAAGCGUUGAGAAUUUCGGCCUCUGUGUCGGUCUCCAACCCGGAGGUGCGGACCGGUUCCGAUGAUCUUGUUGCGUCUAUCCUCUCCAAGGUCACACAAACAGAUCGAGGAGUUUUGCUGAAAAAUGAAGAGCAUAAAGAGGUAGCUGCAGUGGCCGAAGAAUCGCAGAAAUAUUGUGUUAAUGAGCCUGUGAAAUGUCGUCUCAUAUUUGGUGAGUGGAUGUCGUUUACUGCUCAGUUCCAACAUCACCUGGUGGUGGCUACUGGAGUGCUUUGGGCCGCCUUGUUUUCAAAACCAAGAAAUGAUACAGGUUGUUGAUGCACCUGAAACUGUCAGGAACAAGGUCUCCUUUUCUGCUUUUGGGUUUCUGGAUGGGGAAGUCUCUUUGACAGGGACACUGACGGCUCUUGAUGAUAGAUAGAUAGAUAAGAUUGUGUUUGAGCGACCUGAACUGAAGAUAGGAGCACUGGAAUUCAGAUACGGCGGUCAUAGCGAGGUUAAACUUCAAAUAACGUACAUAAAUGACAAGAUCAGGCUCGGGAAGGGCUCUAGAGGCUCUCUAUUUGUUUUCCAGGGGCGCAAUUAAACUGCCUACCUUAAAGGUCUAUCACUUGGAUAACAUUUUUUCUUUCAUCGCCUAAUGUGUAAUAUCUCUGUAGUUUUGUAUAGGCCUGUAAACCGAACUGUCAGCGUCGGUUUCGGUGGUAAACCGAUACACUACCGACACAUUAAUUCUCCAAAGAUCUCGACCGAAACCGAUUGAUAGGGAAGAAGAAAACCGGCUGGAGUUUGAUCGGUCGGCACCGAUCGGUUUGAUGGUUUGGGGAUCGGUUUCCACUUUCCAAGUGCAGUGGGACUUCAACGGCGAGGACGAGGUGGUGGCUCAUGCCGCGUGCGAGGUUGUGGUUUGACGACAGAGUAGAGAAGAGAGAGAGAGAGAGAGAGAGGUGACGGCGACGGCACGAAGAAGAAAAGAGAAGAAGCAGUCUGGCUAACCCUAAACUAAACAGUGCCGUUUGAGUUUUUUUUAUUUUUUUUUUGUAUCUGCAUCAUCAAAACGACGCCGUUUCACUUAAGUGAAGUGAAACGGCGUCAUUUCAUUUAAACAUAUUUGAAAAAAAAUAAGGAUAGUUGAGGUCGGCCGAUUCAGCGGUUUUUCACUGGGUCAAACCGUGAACCGAACCGGCCGACAUCGGUUUGGCUUAAUUCCUACUGCCGGCCGACCGGUUCUCUGACAGUUUCGGCCAGUUUCCUGCUCCGGCUGCCGGUCUGAUCAGUUCCGACCGGUUUCCGGGUUUUCUGUACAGUCCUAGUUUUGUACCAUAAAAGCUAUUCUCCACGGCACUCUCUCUAAAUAAACAUCGCCAAACUUUACAUGAUCUGGUUAUGUAUGGAUGGUGAGAUGAAUUGUGUUAACUUGUGAAUAAUAAUAUUUUGUAAAUUCUAUUGAGAUAGA